rnacentral:rRNA from 1 species
UACGUAGGGUGCAAGCGUUAAUCGGAAUUACUGGGCGUAAAGCGUGCGCAGGCGGCUUUGCAAGACAGAUGUGAAAUCCCCGGGCUUAACCUGGGAACUGCAUUUGUGACUGCAUGGCUGGAGUGCGGCAGAGGGGGAUGGAAUUCCGCGUGUAGCAGUGAAAUGCGUAGAUAUGCGGAGGAACACCGGUGGCGAAGGCGGCGUUCUGGACUGCAACUGACACUGAAAACGAAAGCCAGGGAGCAAACGGGA